UUUCCUACGGGACGCAGCAGUGGGGGAUAUUGCACAAUGGGGGAAACCCUGAUGCAGCGACGCCGCGUGAGUGAAGAAGUAUUUCGGUACGUAAAGCUCUAUCAGCAGGGAAGAAUAAUGACAGUACCUGACUAAGAAGCCCCGGCUAACUACGUGCCAGCAGCCGCGGUAAUACGUAGGGGGCAAGCGUUAUCCGGAUUUACUGGGUGUAAAGGGAGCGUAGGCGGCCAUGCAAGUCAGAAGUGAAAACCCGGGGCUCAACCCUGGGAGUGCUUUUGAAACUGUGCGGCUAGAGUGUCGGAGGG
rnacentral:rRNA from 1 species